ACGAACGCUGGCGGCGUGCCUAACACAUGCAAGUCGAGCGGAGAAUGCGAGAUGUCUUACAUUGAGUAUUCUUAGCGGCGGACGGGUGAGUAACACGUGGGUAACCUGCCUCAGAGUGGGGGAUAGCCUUUCGAAAGGAAGAUUAAUACCGCAUAAGCUUGUAGCAUCGCAUGGUGCAGCAAGAAAAGGAGCAAUCCGCUCUGAGAUGGACCCGCGGCGCAUUAGCUAGUUGGUGAGGUAACGGCUCACCAAGGCCACGAUGCGUAGCCGACCUGAGAGGGUGAUCGGCCACAUUGGAACUGAGACACGGUCCAGACUCCUACGGGAGGCAGCAGUGGGGAAUAUUGCACAAUGGGCGAAAGCCUGAUGCAGCAACGCCGCGUGAGUGAUGAAGGCUUUCGAGUCGUAAAGCUCUUUGAUCAGGGAUGAUAAUGACAGUACCUGAAAAACAAGCCACGGCUAACUACGUGCCAGCCGCCGCGGUAAUACA
rnacentral:rRNA from 1 species